rnacentral:rRNA from 1 species
UACGUAGGGGGCAAGCGUUGUCCGGAUUUAUUGGGCGUAAAGAGCGUGUAGGCGGCUAGAUAGGUCCGUUGUGAAAACUCGAGGCUCAACCUCGAGACGUCGAUGGAAACCAUCUGGCUAGAGUCCGGAAGAGGAGAGUGGAAUUCCAGGUGUAGCGGUGAAAUGCGUAGAUAUCUGGAGGAAUACCGGUGGCGAAGGCGGCAUCCUGGACCGACAUUGACGCUGAGGAGCGAAAGCUAGGGGAGCGAACAGG